AUUCUUUUCCUAUUAAUAAUCCUAAUGGUAAAAGCAUUUCACAGGUUUACAAAACACUUCCACAAACAUUAUAACACUACUAUCUUAAUAACUCAGUGAGUAAUAACAACUACCCCCAUUUUACAGGUAAAGAUACCCAGGAAGAUUGUUACUUGUUCAAGAAAAUGGAAUAGUAGAGCUUCAAAACAAGUUCUGUUUAUCAAGCUGCCUUGAAUUCACCAAAUCAUCCAUCCAUGCCAGUGUUACCUGCCUUUUGUCGCUUCUCCUACCCACAGCACCCUGUCCAUUAAAUCCUUACCUUUCCCAACCUGAUACUAGAGAUGGCCUGGCUGGCUCUUCUGCACUAAGGCAGAAACUCUGUUCUUCCUCCACUCCCUCACAGAUCCCACUUCCAGUCAGCAUUCUUUGGACAUUAACUGAUGUCUGUGGAGAAGGGAAGACUGGAGUUUUACUUCCUCUUCACUCCUCCUUCCCACUCCGUGGUGGGGAGGAGACAUUUAUUUAAGCAAAGACCUGUGGGAGGCCAGUGUAUCCUGGUAUCAGGAGCAAGAAAAAUGACCUAUCACAAAGACUAUCUUGCCAGCAAAGACUGUGGAAGAGACAUGAAGCGGGGAGGGCAUGAUUUUGCUUCCACAUAGUGAGAUAAAGCAGUCUCUUCCUUAUCUGUGGAAGCCAGGCUGGUGGGC
rnacentral:lncRNA from 1 species